UACGGGGGGGGGCAAGCGUUGUUCGGAAUUACUGGGCGUAAAGGGCUCGUAGGCGGCCAACUAAGUCAGACGUGAAAUCCCUCGGUUUAACCGGGGAACUGCGUCUGAUACUGGAUGGCUAGAGGUUGGGAGAGGGAUGCGGAAUUCCAGGUGUAGCGGUGAAAUGCGUAGAUAUCUGGAGGAACACCGGUGGCGAAGGCGGCAUCCUGGACCAAUUCUGACGCUGAGGAGCGAAAGCCAGGGGAGCAAACGGG
rnacentral:rRNA from 1 species